rnacentral:rRNA from 1 species
GACGAACGCUGGCGGCGUGCUUAACACAUGCAAGUCGAACGGAAAGGCCCUGCUUUUGUGGGGUGCUCGAGUGGCGAACGGGUGAGUAACACGUGAGUAACCUGCCCUUGACUUUGGGAUAACUUCAGGAAACUGGGGCUAAUACCGGAUAGGAGCUCCUGCUGCAUGGUGGUGGAUGGAAAGUUCCGGCCGUUGGGGAUGGACUCGCGGCUUAUCAGCUGGUUGGUGGGGUAGUGGCUUACCAAGGCUUAGACGGGUAGCCGGCCUGAGAGGGUGGACGGCCACAAGACGACUGAGGGACGGAGCAGACGGCUAUCGGACGCAGUAGGGGAGAAUCUGGCGGAGCGAGGGGAAGUGUGAGGUGGAAACGCUGCGUGCGUGAAGACGUGCUAUGAGGUGUAAACAGAUUUCGCCUGUGCUGUAGACUGAGUGACGGUAAUUGGUAAAGAAGCACCGGCUAACUACGUG